ACGAACGCUGGCGGCGUGCUUAACACAUGCAAGUCGAACGGAAAGGCCCUGCUUUUGUGGGGUGCUCGAGUGGCAAACGGGUGAGUAACACGUGAGUAACCUGCCCUUGACUUUGGGAUAACUUCAGGAAACUGGGGCUAAUACCGGAUAGGAGCUCCUGCUGCAUGGUGGGGGUUGGAAAGUUUCGGCGGUUGGGGAUGGACUCGCGGCUUAUCAGCUUGUUGGUGGGGUAGUGGCUUACCAAGGCUUUGACGGGUAGCCGGCCUGAGAGGGUGACCGGCCACAUUGGGACUGAGAUACGGCCCAGACUCCUACGGGAGGCAGCAGUGGGGAAUAUUGCACAAUGGGCGGAAGCCUGAUGCAGCAACGCCGCGUGCGGGAUGACGGCCUUCGGGUUGUAAACCGCUUUCGCCUGUGACGAAGCGUGAGUGACGGUAAUGGGUAAAGAAGCACCGGCUAACUACGUG
rnacentral:rRNA from 1 species